GGCGGGAUAGAGCAGUUUGGAAGCUCAUCGGGCUCAUGACCCGAAAGUCAUCGGUUCAAAUCCGAUUCCCGCUUUA
rnacentral:tRNA from 1 species